GACGAACGCUGGCGGCGUGCUUAACACAUGCAAGUCGAACGGAAAGGCCUCUUUCGGGGGGUACUCGAGUGGCGAACGGGUGAGUAACACGUGAGUAACCUGCCCUUGACUUUGGGAUAACUUCAGGAAACUGGGGCUAAUACCGGAUAGGAGCUCCUGCUGCAUGGUGGGGGUUGGAAAGUUUCGGCGGUUGGGGAUGGACUCGCGGCUUUUCAGCUUGUUGGUGGGGUAGUGGCUUACCAAGGCUUUGACGGGUAGCCGGCCUGAGAGGGUGACCGGCCACAUUGGGACUGAGAUACGGCCCAGACUCCUACGGGAGGCAGCAGUGGGGAAUAUUGCACAAUGGGUGGAAGCCUGAUGCAGCAACGCCGUGUGCGGGAUGACGGCCUUCGGGUUGUAAACCGCCUUCGCCCAUGACGAAGCUUUGUGUGACGGUAGUGGGUAAAGAAGCACCGGCUAACUACGUG
rnacentral:rRNA from 1 species